GAGAAAAGCACGCACUCACGGAGGCCUCCUGCUCACCUAGACGACGUUGCCAUAGAAACAGGAAAUCGCCUGGAUUUCUCCAACACUCUACACAGCAGUGCGCCCCCUCGGGAGCCCCUGCCGGCCCGAGAGUGAACGCUAGUGCACACCACGGACGUCGUCACCGCAACGUCAGCGCAGACGGCGACAAACUCCCCAUGCUGUCGCAGGAAAGCCACUCCUUGCAGACGAGCGGUUUCGGCGCCCGGCUGUCCUCUCGUCCUCCUGGCCCCAGUCCUGAUACCUGCGGUGGAGGAGAUGCCAAGCCAGGUGCCGUGAGUGACAGAGAUGAAUGAGAUUCCACCGGUCCCCAGCAGCAGCGGCCUUGGCAGACAAGCAGGACAGCAGGCGGCAGAAAUACCUGCCUGCGGUUCCUGAUGAGCAGCACCUGGCCUGGGCGGCCACCCCGGUGGAUUCUGGGCCUCAUCUGUGACCUCAUCAUGUUCACUAGACAGACGAGCUCCUGUUACAUCCUGGAAGCCUGCACUGUUUCUAACACAACGGCUCACCGUUGUUUACAGUGUGUCCACGGGCUCGUUUGUUGCAGAAUAAACUAUCAAAUUUUAU